UUGUUUGUAUUUCGACUGAACACAAAUGUUGUUAUCCAAGCGUAAAGUAUCUUUAGGCCUACAUGAUAUGGACGUGGAGACUGAGAGGACUGGAAUGGAGACACUAAUGUUCGUGUUCCGUCUGCAAAACGUGCUGAAAUGAAAUUAGGCGCCAACUUUCUCUGUCAAGUUUUUGUCAUGCUCAGAUGUAUUUAGCCCGAACACGGUGGCCGUCCCCGGACCCCGGUUAUUACAGCUGUACUCGCUAGAACAAGUGGACGUUGCGUUCAAAAGGAACAUGAUUCGAUUCAAACUAUGGUUAAGGAUAAAAACUCUGGUGUAAUGACCAUCUUGUCGCAUUGAUAGUCAAGUACCGUCAGUAACUUCUG